rnacentral:rRNA from 1 species
GAUGAACGCUGGCGGCGUGCCUAAUACAUGCAAGUCGAGCGAACAGACGAGGAGCUUGCUCCUCUGACGUUAGCGGCGGACGGGUGAGUAACACGUGGAUAACCUACCUAUAAGACUGGGAUAACUUCGGGAAACCGGAGCUAAUACCGGAUAAUAUAUUGAACCGCAUGGUUCAAUAGUGAAAGACGGUUUUGCUGUCACUUAUAGAUGGAUCCGCGCCGCAUUAGCUAGUUGGUAAGGUAACGGCUUACCAAGGCAACGAUGCGUAGCCGACCUGAGAGGGUGGUCGGCCACAUGGGAACUGGGACACGGUCCAGAGUCCUACGGGAGGCAGCAGUAGGGAAUGUGCGGCAAUGGGCGAAAGCCUGACGGAGCAAGGCCGCGUGAGUGAUGAAGGUCUUCGGAUCGUAAAACUCUGUUAUUGGGGAAGAACAAAUGUGGAAGUAACUAUGCACGUCUUGACGGUACCUAAUCAGAAAGCCACGGCUAACUACGUG